rnacentral:rRNA from 1 species
AUUGAACGCUGGCGGCAUGCCUUACACAUGCAAGUCGAACGGCAGCACGGGUGCUUGCACCUGGUGGCGAGUGGCGAACGGGUGAGUAAUAUAUCGGAACGUACCUUAUUGUGGGGGAUAACGCAGCGAAAGCUGUGCUAAUACCGCAUAAUCCCUAAGGGGGAAAGCGGGGGACCGUAAGGCCUCGCGCAAUUAGAGCGGCCGAUACCUGAUUAGCUAGUUGGUGAGGUAAAGGCUCACCAAGGCAACGAUCAGUAGCUGGUCUGAGAGGACGAUCAGCCACAAUGGGACUGAGACACGGCCCAGACUCCUACGGGAGGCAGCAGUGGGGAAUUGUGGACAAUGGGGGCAACCCUGAUCCAGCAAUGCCGCGUGAGUGAAGAAGGCCUUCGGGUUGUAAAGCUCUUUUGUCAGGGAAGAAACAGCAGCUCUAACACAGUAUGCGAAUGACGGUACCUGAAGAAUAAGCACCGGCUAACUACGUGCCAGCCGCCGCGGUAA